GCCGGGCGUGGUGGCGGGCGCCUGUAAUCCCAGCUACUCGGGAGGCUGAGGCAGGAGAAUUGCUUGAGUCCAGGAGACGGAGGUUGCAGUGAGUCAAGCUCGUGCCACUGCACUCCAGCCUGACCAACAGAACGAUACUCUGUCUCAA
rnacentral:SRP_RNA from 1 species